rnacentral:rRNA from 1 species
UACGUAGGGUGCGAGCGUUGUCCGGAAUUAUUGGGCGUAAAGGGCUCGUAGGCGGUUUGUCGCGUCGGGAGUGAAAACACCGGGCUUAACUCGGUGCUUGCUUUCGAUACGGGCAGACUAGAGGCAUGCAGGGGAGAACGGAAUUCCUGGUGUAGCGGUGAAAUGCGCAGAUAUCAGGAGGAACACCAACAGCGAAGGCAGCACUCUGGGCCGGUACUGACGCUGAGACGCGAAAGCGUGGGGAGCGAACAGG